CCCUAUGGGGUGCAGCAGGCGAGAAAACUUUGCAAUGUGCGAAAGCACGACAAGGUUAAUCCGAGUGGUUUCUGCUAAAGAAACCUUUUGUCAGUCCUAGAAACACUGAUGAAUAAGGGGUGGGCAAGUUCUGGUGUCAGCCGCCGCGGUAAAACCAGCACCUCAAGUGGUCAGGAUGAUUAUUGGGCCUAAAGCAUCCGUAGCCGGCUCUGUAAGUUUUCGGUUAAAUCUGUACGCUCAACGUACAGGCUGCCGGGAAUACUGCAGAGCUAGGGAGUGGGAGAGGUAGACGGUACUCGGUAGGAAGGGGUAAAAUCCUUUGAUCUAUUGAUGACCACCUGUGGCGAAGGCGGUCUACCAGAACACGUCCGACGGUGAGGGAUGAAAGCUGGGGGAGCAAACCGGAUUAGAUACCCGGGUAGUCCCAGCUGUAAACUAUGCAAACUCAGUGAUGCAUUGGCUUGUGGCCAAUGCAGUGCUGCAGGGAAGCCGUUAAGUUUGCCGCCUGGGAAGUACGUACGCAAGUAUGAAACUUAAAGGAAUUGGCGGGGGAGCACCACAAGGGGUGAAGCCUGCGGUUCAAUUGGAGUCAACGCCAGAAAUCUUACCCGGAGAGACAGCAGAAUGGAGGUCAAGCUGAAGACUUUACCAGACAAGCUGAGAAGAAGUGCAUGGCC
rnacentral:rRNA from 1 species